rnacentral:miRNA from 1 species
CGCUGAUCUGCACAGCUCUGGGCGCCCGGGGGCAUGAGCGUUCUUCCUUGCUGUCCUGUGCCCUCCCGGCCUCCACCUGUCCCGGGUGGAGCGCAGGAUCCUGAGCUGUGUCCCGGCGCCCUGG